CAAGUCGAACGAUGAACCACUUCGGUGGGGAUUAGUGGCGAACGGGUGAGUAACACGUGGGCAAUCUGCCCUGCACUCUGGGACAAGCCCUGGAAACGGGGUCUAAUACCGGAUACUGACCCUCGCAGGCAUCUGCGAGGUUCGAAAGCUCCGGCGGUGCAGGAUGAGCCCGCGGCCUAUCAGCUUGUUGGUGAGGUAAUGGCUCACCAAGGCGACGACGGGUAGCCGGCCUGAGAGGGCGACCGGCCACACUGGGACUGAGACACGGCCCAGACUCCUACGGGAGGCAGCAGUGGGGAAUAUUGCACAAUGGGCGAAAGCCUGAUGCAGCGACGCCGCGUGAGGGAUGACGGCCUUCGGGUUGUAAACCUCUUUCAGCAGGGAAGAAGCGAAAGUGACGGUACCUGCAGAAGAAGCGCCGGCUAACUACGUGCCAGCAGCCGCGGUAAUACGUAGGGCGCAAGCGUUGUCCGGAAUUAUUGGGCGUAAAGAGCUCGUAGGCGGCUUGUCACGUCGGUUGUGAAAGCCCGGGGCUUAACCCCGGGUCUGCAGUCGAUACGGGCAGGCUAGAGUUCGGUAGGGGAGAUCGGAAUUCCUGGUGUAGCGGUGAAAUGCGCAGAUAUCAGGAGGAACACCGGUGGCGAAGGCGGAUCUCUGGGCCGAUACUGACGCUGAGGAGCGAAAGCGUGGGGAGCGAACAGGAUUAGAUACCCUGGUAGUCCACGCCGUAAACGGUGGGCACUAGGUGUGGGCAACAUUCCACGUUGUCCGUGCCGCAGCUAACGCAUUAAGUGCCCCGCCUGGG
rnacentral:rRNA from 1 species